rnacentral:tRNA from 1 species
GUCAGGAUGGCCGAGUGGUCUAAGGCGCCAGACUCAAGGUUUAAGAACCUUACCAUGCAUCCAUGGGUCAGAGUGUUCUGGUCCACGAAAGUGGGCGUGGGUUCAAAUCCCACUUCUGACA